rnacentral:rRNA from 1 species
UUAUUGAUAGUACCUUACUACUUGGAUAACCGUGGUAAUUCUAGAGCUAAUACAUGCUAAAAACCCCGACUUCGGAAGGGGUGUAUUUAUUAGAUAAAAAGCCAAUGCCCUCCGGGGCUCCCUGGUGAUUCAUAAUAACUCAACGAAUCGCAUGGCCUUGCGCCGGCGAUGGUUCAUUCAAAUUUCUGCCCUAUCAACUUUCGAUGGUAGGAUAGUGGCCUACCAUGGUAUCAACGGGUAACGGGGAAUUAGGGUUCUAUUCCGGAGAGGGAGCCUGAGAAACGGCUACCACAUCCAAGGAAGGCAGCAGGCGCGCAAAUUACCCAAUCCCGACGCGGGGAGGUAGUGACAAUAAAUACUGAUACGGGGCUCUUACGGGUCUCGUAAUUGGAAUGAGUACAAUUUAAAUCCCUUAACGAGGAACAAUUGGAGGGCAAGUCUGGUGCCAGCAGCCGCGGUAAUUCCAGCUCCAAUAGCGUAUAUUAAAGUUGUUGCAGUUAAAAAGCUCGUAGUUGAACCUUGGGCCUGGCUGGCCGGUCCGCCUCACCGCGUGCACUGGUCCGGCCGGGCCUUUCCUUCCGGGGAUCUGCAUGCCCUUCGCUGGGCGUGUCGGGGAGCCGGGACUUUUACUUUGAAAAAAUUAGAGUGUUCAAAGCAGGCCUUUGCUCGAAUACAUUAGCAUGGAAUAAUGGAAUAGGACGUGCGGUUCUAUUUCGUUGGUUUCUAGGACCGCCGUAAUGAUUAAUAGGGAUAGUCGGGGGCGUCAGUAUUCAAUUGUCAGAGGUGAAAUUCUUGGAUUUAUUGAAGACUAACUACUGCGAAAGCAUUCGCCAAGGAUGUUUUCAUUAAUCAGUGAACGAAAGUUAGGGGAUCGAAGACGAUCAGAUACCGUCGUAGUCUUAACCAUAAACUAUGCCGACUAGGGAUCGGGCGGUGUUAUCUUUUUGACCCGCUCGG